rnacentral:rRNA from 1 species
AAAGCGAAUAGUGAAACCUGGUGGCUCAACCAUACAGACUAUUAUUCGAACUCAUUAACUCGAGAGUAGCAGAGGUAACUGGAAUUUCUUGUGUAGGAGUGAAAUCCGUAGAUAUAAGAAGGAACACCAAUGGCGUAGGCAGGUUACUGGACCAUUUCUGACACUGAGGCACGAAAGCGUGGGGAGCGAACGGGAUUAGAUACCCCGGUAGUCCACGCCGUAAACGAUGGAUACUA